rnacentral:rRNA from 1 species
AUUGAACGCUGGCGGCAGGCCUAACACAUGCAAGUCGAGCGGUAACACAGAGGAGCUUGCUCCUUGGGUGACGAGCGGCGGACGGGUGAGUAAUGCCUGGGGAUCUGCCCGAUAGAGGGGGAUAACUACGGGAAACUGUAGCUAAUACCGCAUAACGUCUACGGACCAAAGUGGGGGCUCUUCGGACCUCAUGCUAUCGGAUGAACCCAGGUGGGAUUAGCUAGUUGGUGAGGUAAUGGCUCACCAAGGCGACGAUCUCUAACUGGUUUGAGAAAAUGCACAGCACCACUGGAACCGAGACGCGGUCCAGACACAUACGGGAGGCAGCAGUGGGGUAUAUUGCACAAGUGCCGCAAGCCUGAUGCAGCUAUGCCGCGUGUGUGAAGCAGGCCUUCUGGUUGUAAAGCACUUUCAGCGGGGAGGAAGGGUCACUAGUUAAUACCUAGUGGCAUUGACGUUACUCGCAGAAGAAGCACCGGCUAACUCCGUGCCAGCCGCCGCGGUAA